rnacentral:rRNA from 1 species
GCAAGUCGAACGCGAACGUUUCUUCGGAAACAAGUAGAGUGGCGGACGGGUGAGUAACGCGUAGGAAUCUACCUAGUAGUGGGGGAUAACAUGGAGAAAUUCAUGCUAAUACCGCAUAUGUUCUAUGGAAUAAAGAGGGCCUCUUCUUGAAAGCUCUUGCUAUUAGAUGAGCCUGCGUCGGAUUAGCUUGUUGGCGGGGUAAUGGCCCACCAAGGCGACGAUCCGUAGCUGGUCUGAGAGGAUGAUC